CUCUUCGGGGAUGAUUAAACCGGCGCACGGGUGAGUAACACGUGAGUGACCUGCCUUUUAGACUGGAACAACUUACCGAAAGGUGAGCUAAUGCCGGAUGAGUUAUAUAAGUGCAUGUUUAUAUAGGAAAAGUUGGGGAGACCUGACGCUGAAAGAUGGACUCGCGUCCCAUUAGCUAGUUGGUAGGGUAAUGGCCUACCAAGGCGACGAUGGGUAGCCGGCCUGAGAGGGUGGCCGGCCACACUGGGACUGAGACACGGCCCAGACUCCUACGGGAGGCAGCAGUGGGGAAUUUUGCGCAAUGCUCGUAAGAGUGACGCAGCGACGCCGCGUGAAUGACGAAGGCCUUCGGGUCGUAAAGUUCUUUCGACAGGGAAGAAAAUGCCUAUAAGUAACUGUGUAUGUAUUGACGGUACCUGUAUAAGCAGCCCCGGCUAACUCCGUGCCAGCAGCCGCGGUAAUACGGAGGGGGCGAGCGUUGUUCGGAGUGACUGGGCGUAAAGAGCACGUAGGCGGUGUUGUAAGUCAUUAGUCAAAGACUAGAGCUCAACUUUAGUAAGGCUAGUGAUACUAUAAUACUAGAGUAUCAGAGAGGAUUGCAGAAUUCCUGGUGUAGCGGUGAAAUGCGUAGAUAUCAGGAGGAAUACCGUUAGCGAAGGCGGCAAUCUGGCUGGAAACUGACGCUGAGGUGCGAAAGCGUGGGUAGCAAACAGGAUUAGAUACCCUGGUAGUCCACGCUGUAAACGAUGGAUGCUAGGUGUUGGGCUUUUAGUUUCAGUGCCGCAGCAAACGCGAUAAGCAUCCCGCCUGGGG
rnacentral:rRNA from 1 species